GUAACAAGGUUUCCGUAGGUGAACCUGCGGAAGGAUCAUUACUGAUUUGCUUAAUUGCACCACAUGUGUUUUGUUUUGGACAAACUUGCUUUGGCGGUGGGCCUCUACCUGCCGCCAGAGGACAUAAACUUACAACCAAAUUUUUUAUAAACUUGUCACGAGAUUAUUUUUAAUAGUCAAAACUUUCAACAACGGAUCUCUUGGUUCUCGCAUCGAUGAAGAACGCAGCGAAAUGCGAUACGUAAUAUGAAUUGCAGAUAUUCGUGAAUCAUCGAAUCUUUGAACGCACAUUGCGCCCUCUGGUAUUCCGGAGGGCAUGCCUGUUUGAGCGUCGUUUCUCCCUCAAACCCCUAGGGUUUGGUGUUGAGCAAUACGACUUGGGUUUGCUUGAAAGAUGAUAGUGGUAAGGCGGAGAUGCUUGACAAUGGCUUAGGUGUAACCAAAAACAUUGCUAAGGCGGUCUCUGGCGUCGCCCAUUUUAUUCUUCAAACUUUGACCUCAAAUCAGGUAGGACUACCCGCUGAACUUAAGCAUAUCAAUAA
rnacentral:misc_RNA from 1 species